ACCAGCUGCUGCUAUGAGCAGGUUGAGUAUGAGGUUGAGUCCUCAGUGUCUCUGCUGAAAUUAUUGCUGUCUUUCACAGCUUUAAUGCUUCUAUUGCAGAGUCCCGGAGGAGCCUGCCUCAAAGAGAAACUUGAGAAUGGAUUUUGCUGUAGCCUUGGUGGACUUCUCCCCCUGAAACCAUGGCCAGGAAUGCUGACUCUUUCUGAAGUAAAGUUUCUGAAGGGUGUUCUUGUGGCUGACAUUCUAAUUUAUGCUUCUGAAGAAGGCAUGUGGGAAUUAAGUGACAUGAUGGAAAGUUUAAGUGUAAUCAACAGCAAGGAUAAAUGUUUGUGAUUUCUGCAUAUUAAUCUGGCUUUGAUUUGAGUUUCUGCAGCAUCUGUGACAAAACCAUAGGUUAUGGAUUUGGAAGCAUAAAUUUUGUUUCUCUGACAACAUAUAUUUUAGAUACUUAAUCGAUAAACUGAUUGAAUUUAAC
rnacentral:lncRNA from 1 species